CAGAUUCUCCUGGGGGUUAUUGAAACCAAAACGUCUUUGCGAAAUUGGAAAAGCGAUGUGAAAACACAGCAGACAGAAGAAAAAUGCACGAGGAAUUUCUCUCAGCUUCUGCUAGCGACCAAGUGGCUAUUGUCACUCCAAAUCAAACUCCUGCCAGGAGCCUUAAGUUAACUCAG